UCCUCGGUAGGAUAGUGGUGAGUAUCCCCGCCUGUCACGCGGAAGACCGGGGUUCGAUUCCACGCCGGGGAG
rnacentral:tRNA from 1 species